rnacentral:rRNA from 1 species
CGCCUGUUUAACAAAAACAUAGUUUAAAGAAAAAAAUUUUAGAUAAAUUCUGCUCAAUGAGUAAGUUAAAUAGCUGCAGUAAAUUAACUGUACUAAGGUAGCAAAAUAAGUUGCUUUAUAAUUAAAAGCUUGAAUGAAAGAAAUAAUGUGAAAGAAGCUUUUUAAACUAAAAUAGUGAAAAUUAAUAUUUAAGUGAAAAAUCUUAAAUAGAAUCAAAAGACAAGAAGACCCUUUAGAACUUUACAAAUUGAUUUAAUAUCAUUUAGUUAAUUUGUUAAAUUGGGGAGAUUUUUAAAUAAAUAAAUCUUUAGAUAUAAAAAAAUGAUUUAAAUCAGAUUAAAUUAUCCAAAUGUGAAAUAAAACAAGUUACCUAAGGGAUAACAGCGCAAAAUUUUUGAGAAGUUCUCAUUUACAAAAUAAAUUGCGACCUCGAUGUUGGAUUAAGAACAACUUAUAAAGAAAAAUUUAUAAGAGUUGGUCUGUUCGCCCAAAUAAAUCUUACAUGAUCUGAGUUCAAACCGG